rnacentral:rRNA from 1 species
UACGUAGGGUGCAGAGCGUUAAUGAAUCUGGGCGUAAAGCGUGCGCAGGCGGUUCGUUGUGUCGGCGGUGAAAGCCCGGGCUUAACCUGGGAAUGGCCGUUGAAACUGGCGAACUGGAGUGUGGCAGGAGGGGGGUGGAAUUCCGCGUGGUAGGCAGUGAAAUGCGUAGAGAUGACGGAGGAACACCGAUGGCGGAAGGACAGCCCCCUGGGCUAACACUCGAGCGCUCAGGCACGAAAGUGUGGGGAUCAAACAGGA